rnacentral:misc_RNA from 1 species
CUGGGUGGCUUCGGCCGUAAACCCCCUAACCAUUGUGAACGAAACAGUUGCUUCGCCGGAGGGUGGUGAAAACCGCUCGCUGGCAGCACAAAACUCUUCUAAAAGUUAUCUCUGAGUUACUUUCAAUACAUUA